ensembl:ncRNA asRNA:CR46005 antisense RNA:CR46005
AAGCAAUGAGGUUUCAACAAGUGGCUGAUUGGGCAAGGGCACAUGGCCAGGUAUUGUGUUUCCAUAUGUAAUAGCUUGUCUCAUAACGUCCUCGUUCAACCGGAUGUUCAAUGGCCGAUAAACCGGCGGUGAAGCCUUCUCGACCACGCCCACAUUGUAGUCGAUCUUUGUGUUGGCACUCGGAGUUUGCGAAUUGGAGGUCUGCGUGCUCACAUGUCCGGUUACAGCAUUCUUUGUUGUGUAGUAUGUGCUCAUUGCUAUGUUGAGACCAAGUUCGAUUGUUUUAGUGUUUGGUGCGUUCGUGUUUGUGUUGGAGGUUUGCAGUGUAUCUUGGAGCAAACCAAGACGACUUGCCACAGUCUGUGCAAUGGAUUCCCGGAAGGGUAACUGCACAUUCAGGCCGAUGUCUGAAGAGCCAUCGGGCUUACCUGGUUGAACUGGAGCCAAUGGCUGUGAAAGUGUGCGAAUUUCCGUCUUGGGAGGGGACUUUUUUAGGAAACAACCGGAACAGGCCUCCGAGUUGAAGUUGUACUUGGGCAGAGCCACCGGAGCUGCAGGAAGCAGGACCUUUGGAGUCGUUGUCACAGGAACACUUUCUGGAAAGUAAAUAAUAUUACAAGUCAUUCAAAAGUUCCCCUUGAUCACCUAUACAAUCCUCUGUUAGAAAUUUCCAAAUAAAAUGUAUUACAUUUAAAAACAAACCAAAACAUAUUAUACAAGUUAAGAUUAUUCUUAUCAAACCAAAAACGUUUGGUUAUAUUUAGAAACGUAGCUCGAAAACCAGUAUGACUUUAAAGGAAAUAAUCUGAAUGGAAGUCUGAUUUCAAUCGGGUUUAUGAUUUGAAUUAAUAAAUAAUAUUAUCAGACCAAAAGCAUAUAUUUUAGUGCUGUCAUAGGUUCGUAUUGCAAUUCGAAUUAAAUAUUCAGAAUCGGUCAAGAAUUCUGUCAAUACUCACUUGAACCAACUGGACCCGCGUAAGGAUAGCUCUUCAUGGAGAUUAUCCGGAAUUUGCCCUCCUCGUCGGUGGCAUAGACCGUCACGUGAUAGAUACCAUCGGCGGUGAUGAACCCAAACUCGCCCAUGAUAAUGCCGCGUUCAUCUGUGAGUUGGGGAAACAAGAUGAGAUUUGACCAAAAUGAUUUUGUGUUCAUUUUGAAUAUGAAUGCGAAUUUUACGCCGAUAUGUGAUUUUUAAUUUGUUUGAUAACCAGCCACGAGCAGGCCCAUAAAGAUUAAGAUCUAAUAAACUGUAUCGAUAAUGGCGAUCAUAACUUGUGAGCUGGUUUCUUAAAACCCCUCAACCGCACCACACACCCCCAUCGCUUUGAAUUGAUAUGUUAGGCAGCUUCCUACGUAAGAAACAUUCCUAUGUUGAGAUGAAUUUAUUAAUCUGGAUGACACUGUGGAUGGUCUGAAAGAGGUGCGUCUCUCACCAAAGCAUCCUGUCCAGCCACCCACUAAAAUGUUCUCAUUUGAAAUUCUGGCUUGUGGCCUUUGUGUCUGGAAACAGGUUUCCACAAUACUGGCCAACAAGUUUUAACGGUUUGCAUCAAUUGGCUUUCGCUUGUUUGUUUUAGGUUUAAUUCAAAUUUGGCUUCGUGUCACUUUCCCAUUUGUCUCGAUCGAUUUCGACGGGGCUUGAAAACAAUUCUUUAUUUCAAUUUAUUCUUUUGUCGUGAUCAAUUUGAUUUUAAAUUGUUCAAUGAGCUGGGCUAAAUAAUGAAAACUAUUAAACUCGUAUCAAUAUAAAUUAAGACUAUCAUUUUCUGGUUAUACAAUUAACACUAAUAAAAAAAUAACCAUAAAAUUAACAUACAUUUUAGUGGGUAAUAAAAAUUGAAACUGGGAAUAAAUUAUUAUAAAUUAUAAUUAGAAAAUUAUUUAACCAAAAUUAAAGGAUUUAUAACUAUUGGUAAAGUUUCAUUCCCACUUAAUUAUUUUACAGUACAAAAACCUAAUGUUUGUAAUCAAGAGACUAUUCAUAAAGAAGGCAAGUAAAAUUUCAAACAGUAUUUGGUUAGAAAAAAUUUUAAUUAUGUAAUAUAGUAAAUAGUAAAAUACAAUUAAAUAUAUUCUAAGUGACAAUACAUUUUUUUCUAGUAUGUUAAAUUUAAAGUUACGUAUUAUAGCUCUGAAGUAAUGCCCCGUAAGCUAGACUUUAAAAAUCUGAUGUUGAUCAAUAGAUCGUUCAAUAUUUAAAUCAAAGGUGCCGAAAUUGUUUUUGUUAGGAUACCGUUUAUACCGUUCUCCUUUGAAUAGUUAUACAACAAACAAAUAUCAUUUUGCAUGCACAACGAGUUCCUGAAUUUGUUUGUUAAUAUGAACGUAAUACAAUUUUUGGCUCAACUCUGGCAUUUUAUAUGCCAGAAUUAUACUUAUAAAUAUUGAAAUGUGGCUGAUCUUUUUGAAAUUAGCAUUAGCCAAAGAAAGAAAAACCAUAAAUAAGCCAAACAUUUGUGUGUUCGAAAGAGUCUACAUGUUAUGCAAAUCGGCCACGUUUCGUUUUCGAUUUUCUGAAAACUUUAUCACCGAUUCAGCAUGGAAAUAAAAAUCAUAACGACCAUGCAUGCCAUUUGGACACUACACAAUGGACUUCAGAGAUGAACCCCCGGCCAUAUGUGUGUUGUGAAGAUUCCGCUAAUUGCCAUUGGUGGCUGGUAUUUCAAUUGCUGGUGACCUGUCGCUCAGGUGCACCGUGCACCCAUCAAACGUGUAUUGUGUGGCAUUGCACAAGCCGCCACUAGUCGCACUCCGGCUCAAAAGUCAAAAGUUAUGGCUUUUUUUGGCUAAUGCUGGCUGCUAGCUGCUGGAUGGUGCUGCAUUUGUGCAUCUGCUCCUAACGACUCUCGAGAUGACGCAUCAUCUAUUUACAUAUUUCGGUUUCGGUGUCAAUAAAUCGACGCACAGUAGUCAAGAUAUGCUAAUGGUUUAAUUAGCGUCAUUUGCUAGCUCAACCAGCUCACCUCUCUUCUCUGCCCGAUGCUGCUGCUCGUCGAUGGUGAAGCCGAACUUGUAGGGACGCACUGUGGUCGCGGCCGACAGGACAUGGGUCAAGGUGCACAGGAGCAGCAGCUUUAAAGGGAACUCAAUGAAUGCCGGGUUCAGAGUUGGGAUCAAACUUAAGCACUUACAGCACAGACAAACGCCAUCAAUUUUAGGCUCAUUUUGGGAAUUUAUUAUUUAUUUAAAUCGGUCACCAAUUUUAUUUUAUUUUCACGCCCUAAUAUAAACUGUCAGAGCUCACACAAAAACGCAUAAAUAAACGGGCGUUUAUAUUUUAAUACAAAUACGCGAUUAUAAAUAUUUAGAUUUCAAGCGGACGGAAAGACGCGUUUCUCACGGCUAGAUUAUCGGCACGGAGCAAGCGCCUUAGAAUGAAACACACCCCACGAUGUUCGGCAGCGAAUUGACAAUGUUAAUAAUAUUAGGUAAACAUUAUAAAACAUUAGAGGCGGACGAGAACCUGCCGCUGCUUGUUGGCCAAGUGUGCGUGCGAAUCUCUGCCUUCUACACGUUGUGUAUUUCGCCAAGUCGGAUCGCAUAGCUGGUAGCAUUGGCCAGAUCGCAUCACACCUCUUGAGCCUCAGCCAAGCCUGUGCUUAUAAUUUAAAAUUUCAUGCAGUUUGAAAAGUUAUUUAUUUGAUUAUUUAAACUGCUUGUCAGCUAGUUCUGAACUUACUAAGUAAUUUGCAUCCUCGAUAUUUUUUAUACAAAAGCUAAAUUAGUUUUGGUAAAUAACCUUUUUGGCUUUUAUUGCUAGACUUCCUGAGUAUUUUUGGUCCGUAUUGAUUUAUUUGUAGAUUGAGUUCUAGUAAAGUGCAUACAAAAGUCGUUAUUAGAUAUUUUUUAUAUUUAAGCAAAUAAAGAUCCAAAAAAAUCAAAUUAUGAGAGAAGUUUUACAAGAUUAAAUUUAGAAUGGUCUAAUUUAUUAGUACUGUAUUGAAAUUUAAUAACACUUUAGAUUGGUCUUCAAAAUCGGCUAUCAGGCCUGAAGGGUAGUUCAUGCCGAUUUGUAUCUGUUAAUAAUUAAUCGACCCCAAUGUAUUUGCAAUCCAACUUGUUGAGUCUCAUCGAUAGCCAGGCAUUUGACCUGCUUGAUGAGCAAAUUCGAAUGCAAUGAGGAAGAUGUUUGCACUUCUCUAUUUUCAUCGAUCGGCAAUCAGCAGUGAGCUUAUCUUCUGCCGGAUACUGCAAGUCAAUUGUAAUUGAAAUAUUGCUGUCAAGUUCGGCAAUGACUGAUGUUGUAUGCUAAAAUUUGCAUAUUAAUUGCUAUAACAGUUGUCUUUCAAUACGAGCAUAAAUGAUUCGCGUCUAAAGAGACGCAUCACGAAGAUACUGGUAAUUAGCAUUUAGCCCCCAAAAGUAUGCAAGGGAUUUAAAAAGUUCGUUGCCUAAGUCAUUCGAUUUCAAUGCAAUCUGAAUAGCUAUAGCCUGAAAGUAAGCUUAAGAGUCUUUUAUGAUUAAACUAUGCACUUUAAAUCCGCAAAGCCGAC